CGCUAAUGUCUUCACUGGUAUGAUUGGUCACUUUAAAUACAAAGCCCAUACACUUCCUAUGCCUUCUAACGGCAACGUUCUUGUUAGCUAUGGGACAAUAUGGAGACACAAGUUGCACCAUUAGCAAGAUGCUGUUUGUCCAUUCCUGGAACAUCAGUGCCGUCUGCGUGCGUCUUCAUGGCUGCCGGUCACCACCUUCAGCAAACUGCACCAGAAUUAUCCCAGAGUUCGUAGACAUGCUCGUAUUCCUUAACAAAAAUGCUUAGGUAUUGGCAUAUAGGCCAUGUUACGGCUAUAUGUUACAGAAUGCAUUAUUACAAAGUUAAAAGCCGAAUAUGCUGGAUUUUUUAAACUUGAAAAUAUAAUAAAAUAAACAUGCUAUGGCAUAUCUACGAUG